rnacentral:tRNA from 1 species
GGAGAGAUGCGAGAGUGGUUGAAUCGGGCGGUCUCGAAAACCGUUAAACCCGCGAGGGUUUCGGGGGUUCGAAUCCCCCUCUCUCCG